rnacentral:rRNA from 1 species
AGAGUUUGAUCCUGGCUCAGAUUGAACGCUGGCGGCAUGCUUUACACAUGCAAGUCGGACGGCAGCACAGAGAAGCUUGCUUCUUGGGUGGCGAGUGGCGAACGGGUGAGUAAUAUAUCGGAACGUACCGAGUAAUGGGGGAUAACUAAUCGAAAGAUUAGCUAAUACCGCAUAUUCUCUGAGGAGGAAAGCAGGGGACCUUCGGGCCUUGCGUUAUUUGAGCGGCCGAUAUCUGAUUAGCUAGUUGGUGGGGUAAAGGCCUACCAAGGCGACGAUCAGUAGCGGGUCUGAGAGGAUGAUCCGCCACACUGGGACUGAGACACGGCCCAGACUCCUACGGGAGGCAGCAGUGGGGAAUUUUGGACAAUGGGCGCAAGCCUGAUCCAGCCAUGCCGCGUGUCUGAAGAAGGCCUUCGGGUUGUAAAGGACUUUUGUCAGGGAAGAAAAGGACAGGGUUAAUACCCCUGUCUGAUGACGGUACCUGAAGAAUAAGCACCGGCUAACUACGUGCCAGCAGCCGCGGUAAUACGUAGGGUGCGAGCGUUAAUCGGAAUUACUGGGCGUAAAGCGAGCGCAGACGGUUACUUAAGCAGGAUGUGAAAUCCCCGGGCUCAACCUGGGAACUGCGUUCUGAACUGGGUGACUAGAGUGUGUCAGAGGGAGGUAGAAUUCCACGUGUAGCAGUGAAAUGCGUAGAGAUGUGGAGGAAUACCGAUGGCGAAGGCAGCCUCCUGGGAUAACACUGACGUUCAUGCUCGAAAGCGUGGGUAGCAAACAGGAUUAGAUACCCUGGUAGUCCACGCCCUAAA